UCCCGCCCAGGAAAGGCCGCCCCGGGCGCUGCCCAACCCCGGAACCCAGCAGGGAGCGCACACCCGGGAGUAGGCAGGGACAUCUGAGGCUUGGGUGGCUCUUACUCCCCGGCCACAGCGGCUCUCCGGAAACCCCUGCCAAGCGACUGUUCCCGGGCAGCCCAGACGCUUUUCCCACGCUGGAGGUGCACACGAGGCCACCCCCAAUCAGAGCAGCGCGGUGACCUUCCCCAGGAACCUGCUGGCCCCCGGGGAGUUGUAGUUUCAGCUCCCAACAGGUCACUUUCCGCCCCACAAGCCGGAGAGACCUUGGCCCUAUGUGUUAAAGCAAAGUUGCUGAGGUCUCCGCUUUAAAAAACUUCAGAGAGCGCGCAUUGCCACCGCCUUUAAAACAGAAACAAACAAACAAACAAAAAAGAUGAAACUGUUUCUUUUGCAUUUGUUUGGUUUUGUGCAUUUGGAUAGUUUUUAAGUCUCUUAUUUCAAACUUUCCGUCUUCGCUCUGAAGGAUCUGUGUGUAAAAAUCGCCUGUUCACAUGACUGCGGAGACUGUGGGGUUUGGUGCCCUGCCCCGUGGCACUUGCUGGUCUGCAGUAAGCCUCCUCCGUGACUUUCCAUUACUUCCUGCAGCGACAGGUAAGACUAGCAAAGAACCUGGAAACAAAACAAAAUGUGACCUGUGUUUCACUGAUAGAUCUAUUGCUGGAAACGGUGUAUUAAGACUGGGUAACAAUCUGUAAUGUUUGAUAUAGUCUUAUCUAAAACCGAAUCUAUUUUGCCAAUGAAAUGUUUCACAUACUUGAACGCUGAGGCAAAAGGCAGGACACCGGAAAAGUUGUUCGGGCCUUAGGACAGACAGCUAACUGUUGUAUGGUACUGCACACAGCACAAGAGGCCGACAUCCCUGCUUUCCACCCUCUAAAUGCCAGUAAUUGUAGCCCCCCCCCCCCCCCCCCCCAAAAAAAAAAACUCUACACACACACAUUUCCAGACCCAUUCACCGUACUCCCCAUCUCUCCUCCCUCCCCAUCCUCAUUAAGAAGCCCUGAUUCUGGUGAAGGAAUCAAGGGCUGUCUUGCUGGCGGGGUGUUCUGAGGUUUGUGGCUGGAGAACUGCAUUGAUAGGAGUGUCCAGAAUUGCCCCCCACAUUCCUUCUAUUACAUCACUCAGGACCCUUCUUUCCAGCAGUGAGAGCAGAGGCUGCCCCUCAGACAUGAAGGACGAGGGCUGAGAAUGUAUUCCAUGGCCAUUUCCUUCUAUUUUCAUCACAUUUGAUUUACUUCUUGUGCUCGGGUGUGUGCACGUGUGCCGUGAGGCACAGGUGGAGGCUGAAGGACAACUUCCAAAGUCGAUUCUCUCCUCCUCCGGGAGAUGCAUCCCAGGUCAUCAGGCAUCUUUACCGGCUGAGCCAUCCCACCAGCCCAGCCGUUCUUUCAUCAGUUGGUUAUUCUCCAAGUCCUUGUCUACUGAGUGUCAAGUAAGCCCUGUGGCUGCUGUCUGGAUCUAUACUUGGUUCCAGAGUAGUGAAUGCACAGUUCGGGAGAUGGGAGACUAAGAGAACUUUUAAAGGAUGGCAAGAGGGCAUGAUGGGGGAGAGGGCCGGGACUAGGCGGAACAACUCCCUAUUCAGGGGGGAAAGGAAAUACAACUGGCAGAGUCUGGGAAGCCAUGCCGAGCCCAGCUAGGAAGGGCGGGCAGCUAGGAAUGAGCAGCAGUAGAGGAUGGAAGGGAGAAGGGAAGACACUGGAGUAAGGCCAAGGCAGAGCGAUUCUGCUGGUAUUCGGCUUUAAAUGCACCUGCUGGCAGCCCAUUAAGCAAGCCCCGCCCUCAUCCCUGAAGCAAAUGCUUCCCCGGGUGAAUGGGUGAACGUGUAGCUAGAGCAGUAGUUUAUUCUGCCCUAGUAAGCUUUCCUAGCUGUGACAGUAAUUCAUCCAAAGAGACACUAAUCCUCAUUCGUUAUUAUGAGACUUAUUGGGGUGUUGGGGUGGGGAUUCUGCACCAAGCGGUACAUACUUGUCCAUCCUGCCAGACCACCAGGAAGUGAGCAGAAAUACAGGGAAUAUAUUACUUUCUUAUAUGUGUCCUUUAGGAGGCAAUUCCAGUCUCUCCCAGAUUGCUGCUUUCCUCACAGUCAAACUGCUUGUGAAAUAACCAAACCUGCUAUCAAGCUACAAGGCAGUCAGAGUUUCUUCAUCUGUGUCUCAGAAGAGCAUGGUUUGUUUGUUUGUUUGUUUGUUUGUUUUUUCUGUUUUGUUUUUAUUUCCAGGCAGAAAGCACUAAUGUAUACACAGAUACUUCAAAUGCAAAACACCCCAAUCAGCAAUUGGUUACAAGCAAGAAACCAGUUAUGGAUACCUUGAGUUGAAGAGAGUUUGGAAAAAAGUUUCUGUCAAAUGCUGGAGUGAUGGUGGCCAGGGAUAUGAACCUGACGUGGGAAAGUUCUAAAGAGUCAAAGAGCUCAAAUAUCUUUUUGUUGGUAUUAUUAUUUUCUCCUUAAAAAAAAUAAAUUUUCUUUUCUUUUUGAGAUUUUCAUAUGUUAGCAUCAUAAUUCAUUUAUUUCCACCCUAUCUUCUCCACACUCCAACUUUCUGUAUGUCUCUCUCAAAUUCAUGACCUCCUCUCUUUACUUAUUACUGAUACACAGACGUGAUAUAUAUCCUGCUGAUCUGCUGAGUUCACUCAGCGUUGCUCAUAUGCAUACGUGUUUAGGGAUGACCUCUUGGAAUUAGAUAACCUAUCAGGACGUCCAUCCCAGGAGAAGACUGAUUUCCCUCUCUCUUAGCAGCAUUCAUCGCCUGUAGCUCUUCAUCUAGGGUAGGGCCUGUGAGGUUUACUCCAUCCACAUUGGGAUGUCAGCUGGUGUUGUCAUUGUGAGAAUCUUGUUUAGAUGACCAUGUUGUUGAAAUGUCAUGGGUGUAGCUCCCUGUCAGGCAUGAAAAAACUAUCUCACAGCAGACAUCCUGUGGCCUUCUGUGAUGCUCUCUCUCUCUCUCUCUCUCUCUCUCUCUCUCUCUGAUGCAAAAAGUUAGCUUCUUUGGUGAGGGGUGAAAGCUACACUUAUCCAUGAAUGUAAUGAUAAAUAUUUAGAAUCAAGUUGGGGAUUUUAUUGUUUCUAGUGUCAGUAAUAGGUUUUCCUCUAGGGUUCAUGAACUCACCAGCCAUUGGAAGUUGGCUGGGUUUACAGGACCAGUCAUGCAUUCCUUCCUACUAAGCUAUCCUUAAGGCCAACUAGACAGCAAUUGGUUACCCCGAAAAUAUACAUACCACUAUUGCAUCCUUAGGUAUAUCUUGCCAUAUUGGUCAUUGUCAGAAGCAGGCUGGCCACUCCCUGGAUAUUCACAGCACCACCACAAAUGACUAUAAAAUGCAAUGUGCCCAGCACCUCCCACACCUGCCAGCUGCCAUGUUUUCCCUGCUGUGAUGGACUGUGUCUCCUAGAACAACCUUUGUGUCCUUCCGUCUGGAGACCCAUCACCAACGUAAUGAAUUCAAUGUGUCCUGAAAAAUGGUGCUCUACGUUCACAUCGCCUCAGAGCUAGUGCUUCGCUGUGAUUGUGCACCUCGGCUCCAACAGCCUACAUGCCCAGUUGCCUCUGGUGGGCGGUGCAAUUUCCGAUAACUAGGAGUUCCCAUGGUCGUGAUCCACACCUCCUUUGCUUGAACUUGCUGCCCUGCCACAUGGAGCUCUGCCCCACUCCCUGAGCUACUGGAUAAAGAGAAACCAGGAUCUCAUGGAAAUCCGAAAGAUGCCAAUCCUUUCCAGAAAGACAACACAAAGUUGACAGAGCAGGCCAGGCCAGAGGAUGCUUUUGCCGGAGGCCCUGAGAAUGUGGGGAAUAAACCCUAUGGAGAGGCUAGAA